UACGUAGGGUGCAAGCGUUAUCCGGAAUUAUUGGGCGUAAAGAGCUCGUAGGCGGUUUGUCGCGUCUGCUGUGAAAACUGGAGGCUCAACCUCCAGCCUGCAGUGGGUACGGGGCAGACUAGAGUGCGGUAGGGGGAGAUUGGAAUUCCUGGUGUAGCGGUGGAAUGCGCAGAUAUCAGGAGGAACACCGAUGGCGAAGGCAGAUCUCUGGGGCCGUAACUGACGCUGAGGAGCGAAAAGCAUGGGGGAGCGAACAGG
rnacentral:rRNA from 1 species